rnacentral:rRNA from 1 species
UACGGAGGGGGCUAGCGUUGUUCGGAAUUAUUGGGCGUAAAGGGCGCGUAGGCGGCUAAGUAAGUCUCGGGUGAAAUCCCUCGGCUCAACCGAGGAACUGCCUUGGAAACUGCUUGGCUUGAGGCCGGGAGAGGAUGGUGGAAUUCCCAGUGUAGCGGUGAAAUGCGUAGAUAUUGGGAGGAACACCGGUGGCGAAGGCGGCCUUCUGGACAGUGACUGACGCUGAAACGCGAAAGCGUGGGGAGCAAACAGG